rnacentral:rRNA from 1 species
CCUACGGGUGGCAGCAGUGGGGAAUAUUGGGCAAUGGGCGCAAGCCUGACCCAGCAACGCCGCGUGAAGGACGAAGGCUUUCGGGUUGUAAACUUCUUUUAAGGGGGAAGAGCAGAAGACGGUACCCCUUGAAUAAGCCACGGCUAACUACGUGCGAGCAGCCGCGGUAAUACGUAGGUGGCAAGCGUUGUCCGGAUUUACUGGGUGUAAAGGGCGUGCAGCCGGAGAGACAAGUCAGAUGUGAAAUCCACGGGCUCAACCCGGGAACGGCAUUUGAAACUGUUUCCCUUGGGUGUCGGAGAGGUAAUCGGAAUUCCUGGUGUAGCGGUGAAAUGGGUAGAUAUAAGGAAGAACACCGGGGGCGAAGGCGGAUUACGGAACGAUAACUGACGGUGAGGCGCGAAAGCGUGGGGAGCAAACAGGAUUAGAUACCCUAGUAGC